rnacentral:tRNA from 1 species
GCCCUCUUAGCUCAGGGGUAGAGCGCGUCACUAGUAAUGACGAGGUCAUUGGUUCGAAUCCAGUAGAGGGCA